CAUAGCCAUUUUGCAAUUUGUCUUGAAUGCUUUUUUGUUUUUGUUUUGUUUUGCUUAGUAUCUAUUUUAGAUAAUGAUAUAUUACAAGUUAUAAAACUGAUAUAUUACAGGUUUUCUACUGACCAAUAUGAGAAAGUACCAUUCUUUAUUUUUGGAGACUGUAAUUUUUGCCUAGAUACCAAAGAUGCAAUACAGAUUGAAUUUGAAGGUGAAACCACUGAUGGAAACUUUGCUCUUGAUGACGUCACCUUUUACGAUGGGAACUGUCAAACUCAUCCUGUAGAAGCAGCAGUGGAGCCCCCUCUAUCUGAGAAAUUCCAAGUGGUUUAAGAAACUGCUAAAAAAUGGAAAAGAAAAAUGCCGCUUUUAAAAUACAGAAUAUUUCUAAUUAAAGCAACCAAAAAAAUAUAAAAAUUAGGCUUACCAUGUUUCAUAAAGUGCCUUAUAUUUACUCCUGCAUCCCAUUACAGUGGCAAACUGAAAAUCAGAUACUUUCCUCAACCAUCUCUGCUUUGCAGCAAAUUUUGAUACUUUGGAAAAGAUAUCGAUAUUACUUUCUCUCGUAUUGAAGGACAAGCUGGGACUUCAAAGAGGAAUCUGCCAUUAUUUUCAUGCAACUGUGGUAUCAGCCAGCUUUUUGUUCGCAUCUACGGCAUUUUCGUGGCAUUCGAAUAAAUCUUAGCGUGCCACAUAAAUAAAUGUCUGCUCAAUUCGCAAAGCUAUAUGUGAAACAAAUCUGACACAUUAAAAAACUGAAAUGUUUCACGUCAUGUAAUUAUAAAUAACCUUGUAUUUAAAUACAUUAAUACUAAAACUAUUUAAAAUUAUGACAAUUUUUAUACUACAUCAUUAAAAAAGAUAUCAGUUUUGCAAGAAA